GCCUAGUUAGCUUAGUUGGUAGUGCGUCUGCCUUGUAAGCGCUAGGCCGUGGGUUCGAUUCCCACCCCGGGGCG
rnacentral:tRNA from 1 species